rnacentral:rRNA from 1 species
UACAGAGGUCUCGAGCGUUAGGCGGAAUCACUGGGCUUAAAGCGUGUGUAGGUGGAUCGUUAAGUACCUUGUGAAAUCCCACGGCUUAACCGUGGAACUGCUUGGUAUACUGGCGGUCUUGAGCCACUUAGGGGCUACCGGAACAAAUGGUGGAGCGGUGAAAUGCGUAGAUAUCAGGAGGAACACCGGUGGCGAAGGCGGUUCUCUGGGCAUGUCCUGACGCUGAGGAGCGAAAGUGUGGGGAGCGAACAGG